rnacentral:rRNA from 1 species
UACAGAGGUCUCAAGCGUUGUUCGGAUUCAUUGGGCGUAAAGGGUGCGUAGGCGGCGCGGUAAGUCGGGUGUGAAAUCUCGGAGCUUAACUCCGAAACUGCAUUCGAUACUGCCGUGCUUGAGGACUGGAGAGGAGACUGGAAUUUACGGUGUAGCGGUGAAAUGCGUAGAUAUCAGGAGGAACACCGGUGGCGAAGGCGGGUCUCUGGGCCUGACCUGACGCUGAGGAGCGAAAGCGUGGGGAGCGAACAGG